rnacentral:rRNA from 1 species
AGCAGCCGCGGUAAUUCCAGCUCCAAUAGCGUAUAUUAAAGUUGUUGCAGUUAAAAAGCUCGUAGUUGAAUUUCGGGAUCAAUAUAUUGGUCAUGCUUAGGUAUGUACUGGUAUUAUUGAUUUCUCCCUUCUGAAGAACCAUGAUGUCAUUUAUUUGAUGUCGUGGGGAAUCAGGACUGUUACUUUGAAAAAAUUAGUGUUUAAAGCAGGCUUUCGCUUGAAUACAUUAGCAUGGAAUAAUGAAAUAGGACGUUUGAUUCUAUUUUGUUGGUUUCUAGGAUCGACGUAAUGAUUAAUAGGGAUAGUUGGG